CGUAACAAGGUUUCCGUAGGUGAACCUGCGGAAGGAUCAUUGUCGAAACCUGCAAAAGCAGACCGCGAACAUGUUUCUUAACUAUCUGGGAUUUCGCCUCGGGGCUAGCCCCUUGUCGGAGUCCCAACCCCUGCCCGACAUGCGCGCGAGCGAGUGUCGUGCGGGCUAACGAACCCCCGGCGCGGAAUGCGCCAAGGAAAACUAAACGAAGCGCCCGUCCACUGCUGCCCCGUUCGCGGUGAGCACUGGGGACUCGGCGUCUCAUGAAUGUCAUAACGACUCUCGGCAACGGAUAUCUCGGCUCUCGCAUCGAUGAAGAACGUAGCGAAAUGCGAUACUUGGUGUGAAUUGCAGAAUCCCGUGAACCAUCGAGUCUUUGAACGCAAGUUGCGCCCGAAGCCAUUAGGCCGAGGGCACGUCUGCCUGGGCGUCACGCAUCGCGUCGCCCCCCCUCACCUCCCCUUUCGGGGCCGGUUGGCGGGGGGUGGAUAUUGGCCUCCCGUGCUCCUCUGUGCGCGGCUGGCCCAAAUAUGAUCCCUCGGCGACACAAGUCACGACUAGUGGUGGUUGAACCCUCAACUUGCGUGCUGUCUGUGUAACUGCGUUGCCCGUGUGAUGAUCAACAAUGACCCAGCGGCGCACUAGCGCUUUCGACCGCGACCCCAGGUCAGGCGGGAUUACCCGUUGAGUUUAAGCAUAUCUUA
rnacentral:rRNA from 1 species